GUUCCCAUACCGAACACGGAAGUUAAGCUCUCUAGCGCCGAUGGUAGUUGGGACCUUGUCCCUGUGAGAGUAGGACGUUGCCAGGC
rnacentral:rRNA from 11 species